rnacentral:misc_RNA from 1 species
GCGAGGGCAAGGGAGGUGCUCUUGUUCUGGGGGCGGAGCUCCAGGGUUGUGGGGUUUGGUUAAUCUUCUAGUUUCAGUGGAAGAAUCUGAUAGCAUUUUGGGAUAUGUGAAGGAGCUUCUCUUUUGGUUGGUUCUGUGGGGAGAAAGAAGGAGAUUAAAGAGUGUGAAUAAAGAAUCACUAGAAGGUGGCAAAGGAAGAAUGUGAAGAUGGGAAUGAAUUGUGAGUGGGAAGCAAAGGUCCUUUUAUGGAGAGA